UUUUAUGAGUAGUCAAGCAUAACAAAAUAAUAAUAAUAACAACAAGAGGAAAAUUAUUGUAACAAAAACAACUCAAUCAUGUUUAUCUACCAUCACAAACAUGAAAAUGAAGUAUCCAAUGUUUAACUUAAAAACAACAGAACAGCCACGAGCUCUUCAAUGCCUUGUAUGAAUUCCCGAGAAGUAAUAAUACUACAUAAAGCUUAUAUCAUAUUACUCAUUUGAAAUACUAAAAAC
rnacentral:lncRNA from 1 species